rfam:Triticum aestivum genome assembly, contig: Triticum_aestivum_CS42_TGACv1_scaffold_342721_4DL
ACAGUACUCCCUCCGUCCGAAAAAACUUGUCCCAACCUUGUUCCUCAAAUGGAUGUAUCUAGCACUAACUUGGUGUUAGAUACAUCUAUUUGAGGAACAAACUUUCUCGGACGGAGGGAGUACAAU